GAUGAAGAACGUAGUGAAAUGCGAUAAGUAGUGUGAAUUGCAGAAUUCAGUGAAUCAUCGAAUCUUUGAACGCACAUUGCGCCCUUUGGUAUUCCUUAGGGCAUGCCUGUUCGAGCGUCAUUUAAACCUUCAAGCUCAGCUUGGUGAUGGGUGACUGUCCUCCCCUCGCGGGGGGACUCGCCUCAAAAACAUUGGCGGCCGGUACAUUGGCUUCGAGCGCAGCAGAAACGCGGUCUCGAGCCCGGUGGAUCGGCUCCCAUAAGCCUCUUCUUUUAUUUUGACCUCGGAUCAGGUAGGGAUACCCGCUGAACUUAAGCAUAUCAAUAAGCGGAGGA
rnacentral:misc_RNA from 1 species